rnacentral:lncRNA from 1 species
GAGAUCAUUGAUGCUUGUUAGGCUUUUGAUACUUCUUUCUUCCUCAGGGUAGAAACAUAUUGGAUCUCAGUUAGGCUUUUAAUACUUGCCUCCCCUGAUGUCUUCCACGUGAAACACUUGGUGGCCAGGCCUUAAAGCUUAUUCGCUAUUUUUCAUGGCCCUAUUGGAAGAUUCAGAUAUAGGUGCGCCACCGCUUAUGGAAUAUAUCACAUUCACUUGGCAUUGGUUACAGUUAUCCCUUGAAGGGUGAAGAAGGAAUCGAUCAAUUUUUCCUUCACACGCUAAAGCUUCAAUAUGAUCACGAAAGGUGAUACACUUCUCACUGUCAUGGCCGUUAUGCUCGUGGUAGCAGCAAAACGUGCCCAUAUUCUUCGUAGGCUUGUAACUCGACUGCCUCGGCAUUGGCUUCAGUAUCAAGUGU